GCCUCGAUAGCUCAGCCUGGUUAGAGCGUCGCCUUGGUAAGGCGAAGGUCGCGGGUUCAAAUCCCGCUCGAGGCU
rnacentral:tRNA from 2 species